rnacentral:misc_RNA from 1 species
AUCAUCACACACACCCUCCCACAUCUUCGCGUUGGUCGUAUCCGUACAGUGCCCGGUGCACGAGUGUUCGUUGGAUGCUUUAUCCACAGUCGAAAAGUUCCGCUCGCGUUUGUCAAGUUCUGAAAAAUACUGAAAAAGAGGGGGAGGUGCGAGGACGACAACUACAAUAUACUCACGUCUUAAGCAAUAUUCUUUUUUACGUUUUUGUACACACUGCGAUCUUCUUUUUCCACGUGUUUUUUCCCACUAGCAUUUUAAUUUUUUUCGCCUCUGAACGAACCAACAAAAAGAAAAUAAACAAAAAAAAAAGAGGCUAAAGCGAAACGAGUAAUCUCAAAUUAAGUGCUACGGCCAGGUAUCCAAUAUUCCAUAGAAAAAUGUCCCAGAUAGGGAAAACAAUUAAAAAUCUCGAGGCGCCGCGACCGUUAAAAUCGCGAUCUAGCCAUCAAUUAAAAAAUUAUAUGGUAAUAGAAGAGUUAAUUCAACUAGUGGAAACGGUCGCUAUGACUCUAGCAUCGGGUAUAAGUAAUCCAGAGUCAAUGGCCAUUCUCAUAUCGAAUCUCCGAAUAAAUGGUCCACAGUUGGAAACUAUUGCAAAGGAUACUUUGGAUCGUGCCUUCGUGACGUUUCGCAAUGCAUCACAAGAUGAACGUUUAAAUAUUAUGACACGUUUGAAUCUACUUGAAUUGAUUGAAUUACGAGCGAAAUCAUGGCAAGACGAUGGUAUUAAUAUGUACUACAAGCAAAAGGCAAAUAACGUUGAGCCUGAUAACGGUUCGAAUGUAACAGCAGGUUUAAUUGAUCAAUCAACGUUGAUAAGCACCUCCCCCACAUCGAUGGCUGGAUUAUCGAUGGGACAGGCAUCACUGACCACACAAAUUCUCGGUCCAGGAGAGGUUAUACGAGCAUCUGGUAAAUUUUCGAAGCCGACCAAAAUUCCUGGUAAAAAUUACUCUAAAGAUGAAGUUGUAAUUCGAAAUGCCGACUCCGGAAAAGUAAUGGGAAUUAAGGGAAGACGUGUCCACAUGAUUGAGGAGUUGAGUGAGACAAUUAUUUCAUUUCAGAGAGUGAAUCCAGGCGCUAAGGAACGACUUGUUCAAAUUACUGGACCCAACGAAGAAAAAAUUAAUUACGCGAAACAUUUAAUUGAGGACACAAUACGUCGCAAUGCUUCACCUGUACGUCUUGAAUCAUCAGCAUUUGGUGGUGCAACUCAAGGUGGUGCCGCAGGCGGCGGUGGUGGUUCAUGCAGUUCUCUAGCCUCAUCUGCAUCGGAUGAAGCUGUACCGAGAGCGAAUAAUCGAAAUAGUAUUGGUGCUAUGAUGGGUGGUCUUGUCGGUAUGACGAAUCAACCUAAUUAUGUAGGUAGUAAUUAUGGUGGCGUUAUGAUGGCAACAGGUCCUAGUGGUAGAUUAGUACGUACGCCUGGUAAUAAUCAAUUGUUAUCACAUUCGUAUUCAACGAACGAUGCUUCACUUGGCGAAUAUAAAUAUACAGUAAAUGUUGGACAGCAUUUAAUAAAAAUUACAGGAGAUAAUUGUGAAUUAGUUAGGGUAGCGAAAUUAGUAUUGGACGACUAUUUCAGUAGCAACGAAUUUUUAGCUUCCUUUGAAGCUGGAGCUGCAUUUGACGGUUCGUCGACGUUGUUAAGCUCAUCAACAACACCCACGACACCACUUUCAGCUCCAUUUAUUCCGUCUGCUCAUCCACUAGUGUCGUCUCCAUUUGCAGAUAGUGGCAUUGGAUUGAAUUACAUGGCAAGUCAUGGAAUUGCCAAUAGUAAUAUUCCAGAAGGAGAUGAUGACGUCUUCAUUGUUGAACCAAGUGCUCAACCCACAACGCAGCUUAAUGGCCUGGCCAGAUCCAGGCGUAGCCACUUCUCACGUAAGGAUAGUGCUCCCGAUGGUAUUGGAAACAAUGGUAAUAAAGGAUCGGAAGCGGCUGGUACCAACAAAGCUGAAGCUCGUAUCGUUCACGAAUACGAACGACUAAUUUACUACUCGAAAAGUCCACAUUCAUGGGCGCUACCACGUGAUUGGAAUAAGAUAGUCGAAAAGCAUCCAUCGCUCGUACGAAAUAAGAAUGCGGAUGGAGCGAAACCUGAAACUACAACGCCCCAAGCAAUAAAAUGCUCGUAAAGACUAUCAGACUAUAUUCAUUCGCGUGAAAUAAUACAAACAAAGAAAAGUCGUUACUAGGAUUUUUUUGUUUCGAAAAAGUGCACUUAAACACAUUAUAAUUUAGAGAAAGAGAUAUCCACGAUGGAUUUGUUGUUUUAAAUAAUGAUACCAUAAACAAAAUCGAACGAACAUAUUAUCGAAAUGAUAUAUGUAUACUGAGAACGGAAUACAGAAAAAAAAAAGAAAUUUAAAACUCCCACAAUUUCAAAUCUACUAAAAUUCAUUGAGGACAGGAAAACAAAAACAUAGAAGGAGCCUUCACAUCAUAUCGCCCAUCUUCUUCCGCUAUUGUGUAGUUUUCUAUAUAAUCUACUAAAGAGUUCGAUGAUCGUGAAAUGAAUAUUGUGUGACUAACGUUUUUUUUAUGCAAUAACAUAAAAAUAAAAUCAAUAAUGGCACGAUUCAUAAUUUCUAAGGAACAUGUGUGAAGAGUUGAUAACACGUUGUUUUGAAAGGACCUCAACGAUGAACAGCACCGUUUCGAUGCCGAUAAAUACAUGGCACUUAUAAAAUCUGGUAAACGAAUACUUGCUGUCAACGAUGCGACCGCUGAAUCAGAAUCACCAGAUCUCGAAUAAACAAGUGAGAAGUG